rnacentral:rRNA from 1 species
AUUGAACGCUGGCGGCAGGCCUAACACAUGCAAGUCGAGCGGAUGAAGGGAGCUUGCUCCUGGAUUCAGCGGCGGACGGGUGAGUAAUGCCUAGGAAUCUGCCUGGUAGUGGGGGAUAACGUCCGGAAACGGGCGCUAAUACCGCAUACGACCUGAGGGAGAAAGUGGGGGAUCUUCGGACCUCACGCUAUCAGAUGAGCCUAGGUCGGAUUAGCUAGUUGGUGGGGUAAAGGCCUACCAAGGCGACGAUCCGUAACUGGUCUGAGAGGAUGAUCAGUCACACUGGAACUGAGACACGGUCCAGACUCCUACGGGAGGCAGCAGUGGGGAAUAUUGGACAAUGGGCGAAAGCCUGAUCCAGCCAUGGCGCGUGUGUGGAGAAGGUCUUCGGAUUGUAAAGCACUUUAAGUUGGGAGGAAGGGCAGUAAGUUAAUACCUUGCUGUUUUGACGUUACCAACAGAAUAAGCACCGGCUAACUUCGUG